CCAAUAGCGUAUAUUAAAGUUGUUGCAGUUAAAAAGCUCGUAGUUGAAUUUCGGGGUUAGUAGGUUGGUCAUGCCUCUGGUAUGUACUGAUCUCACUGAUUCCUCCCUCUUGACGAACUGUAAUGUCAUUAAUUUGGUGUUGCAGGAAAUCAGGACUGUUACUUUGAAAAAAUUAGAGUGUUUAAAGCAGGCUAAGGCUUGAAUACAUUAGCAUGGAAUAAUGAAAUAGGACGUUUGAUCCUAUUUUGUUGGUUUCUAGGAUUGACGUAAUGAUGAAUAGGGAUAGUUGAGGGCAUUAGUAUUCAAUUGUCAGAGGUGAAAUUCUUGGAUUUAUUGAAGACUAACUACUGCGAAAGCAUUUGCCAAGGAUGUUUUCAUUAAUCAAGAACGAAAGUUAGGGGAUCGAAGACGAUCAGAUACCGUCGUAGUCUUAACCAUAAACUAUGCCGACUAGGGAUCGGAUGCUGUUAAUUAUUUAAUGACUCAUUCGGCGCCUUACG
rnacentral:rRNA from 1 species